UACGUAGGGUGCAAGCGUUGUCCGGAAUUAUUGGGCGUAAAGAGCUCGUAGGCGGUUUGUCGCGUCGGGAGUGAAAACUCAGGGCUUAACCCUGAGCCUGCUUCCGAUACGGGCAGACUAGAGGUAUGCAGGGGAGAACGGAAUUCCUGGUGUAGCGGUGGAAUGCGCAGAUAUCAGGAGGAACACCGGUGGCGAAGGCGGUUCUCUGGGCAUUACCUGACGCUGAGGAGCGAAAGUGUGGGGAGCGAACAGG
rnacentral:rRNA from 1 species